UACAGAGGGUGCGAGCGUUAAUCGGAAUUACUGGGCGUAAAGGGCGCGUAGGCGGUCUAUCAAGUGAGAUGUGAAAUCCCCGGGCUUAACCUGGGAACUGCAUCUUAAACUGGUGGGCUGGAGUACUGUAGAGGAUAGUGGAAUUUCCGGUGUAGCGGUGAAAUGCGUAGAGAUCGGAAGGAACAUCAGUGGCGAAGGCGACUGUCUGGACAGAUACUGACGCUGAGGCGCGAAAGCGUGGGGAGCAAACAGG
rnacentral:rRNA from 1 species